rnacentral:rRNA from 1 species
AAUAUUGCGCAAUGGAGGAAACUCUGACGCAGCGACGCCGCGUGAGCGAUGAAGGUCUUCGGAUCGUAAAGCUCUGUCCUUGGGGAAGAAGAUCGAAAGAUUUGACGGUACCCGAGGAGGAAGCCCCGGCUAACUACGUGCCAGCAGCCGCGGUAAUACGUAGGGGGCAAGCGUUGUCCGGAAUUAUUGGGCGUAAAGGGUGCGUAGGCGGUAAUGAAAGUCAGGUGUGAAAGCCCGAAGCUCAACUUCGGGAUUGCACUUGAAACUUCAUAACUAGAGUACAGGAGAGGUGAGUGGAAUUCCUAGUGUAGCGGUGAAAUGCGUAGAUAUUAGGAGGAACACCAGUGGCGAAGGCGACUCACUGGACUGAUACUGACACUGAGGUGCGAAAGCGUGGGGAGCAAACA